UACGAAGGGGGCUAGCGUUGCUCGGAAUCACUGGGCGUAAAGCGCACGUAGGCGGCUUUUUAAGUCAGGGGUGAAAUCCUGGAGCUCAACUCCAGAACUGCCUUUGAUACUGAGAAGCUUGAGUCCGGGAGAGGUGAGUGGAACUGCGAGUGUAGAGGUGAAAUUCGUAGAUAUUCGCAAGAACACCAGUGGCGAAGGCGGCUCACUGGCCCGGUACUGACGCUGAAGCACGAAGGCCAGGGGAGCAAACGGG
rnacentral:rRNA from 1 species